rnacentral:rRNA from 1 species
GACGAACGCUGGCGGCGUGCCUAAUACAUGCAAGUAGAACGCUGAAGGAGGAGCUUGCUUCUCCGGAUGAGUUGCGAACGGGUGAGUAACGCGUAGGUAACCUGCCUGGUAGCGGGGGAUAACUAUUGGAAACGAUAGCUAAUACCGCAUAACAGUAGAUAUUGCAUGAUAUCUGCUUGAAAGGUGCAAUUGCAUCACUACCAGAUGGACCUGCGUUGUAUUAGCUAGUUGGUGGGGUAACGGCUCACCAAGGCGACGAUACAUAGCCGACCUGAGAGGGUGAUCGGCCACACUGGGACUGAGACACGGCCCAGACUCCUACGGGAGGCAGCAGUAGGGAAUCUUCGGCAAUGAACGGAAGUCUGACCGAGCAACGCCGCGUGAGUGAAGAAGGUUUUCGGAUCGUAAAGCUCUGUUGUAAGAGAAGAACGAGUGUGAGAGUGGAAAGUUCACACUGUGACGGUAUCUUACCAGAAAGGGACGGCUAACUACGUG